GCUAGAAGGAGAGAAAACAGACAUAAUUAGAAAGUGUGCGCUCCAGACAUUUCCCUCCCCUUCUUGAUUUAUUUUAUGUCCCCUGAGCUGGAUGCCAAGCUGGAUGCCAAGCUGGCACACGGGUUUUCAGAAAUGAAUGGGGUGCUUGAGGCCUCCAGAAUGAAAAUGACAGUCUUCAAGUGCACACUCGGUGAUGGGGGCAGGGGGCGUCUCCUCACACACAGAUGCCCUGUGAACAAGAAGCCUCCUCUGUGCUCUCCUCACCUCGCCCACGAUGUCCUGGAAGCCAGCAGCUGCCUGAGGGGAACCCGCUUGGGGCUGUGUCUGAGUAAUGAGCCUUCUUUUUAAGACCUUCUCUCUUGUUUAUCCCAGUCCAUUCGGAGGAUUCCACUCAAUAAUCAGGCUGACUGUGGCUCAGAAGAGAAGACGAGGACAAGGGGCAAGGCUGUGGGCAGGUCUGAGCAUUGCCAGUUUGGAGAGGGCCCCACACCCAGCUGUGAGCGGACAAGACCGCUGAUCAGCCUCUCAGCCGUGGCCUUCCAGCAUCAUGGGUGCGUGGUGAGCGGAUAUGGACCUGACUGCUCCAGGAGCCAGUUCCUGCCUCAAAGUCAAGUGUCACAGAAGAAGGAAACCAUGCCACGGGGGCAAAGGACCAGAGAGACCCAGCAUCUCUUGACUCCCAGUGCCUCCUGCCCCAGCUGGACAAGUCCCUGAGAGUCUGCUUUCUCGGAUGGAGCUGAAAUUCUUUUAAAAAUGCCCUGCUCCAAGGAGGGAGUCGAUGCCGCUGACAAUGAAACAUACACAAGUCUAGAAACGGGAAUUUAGAGAAAAGGUUUGGAAUUUUCAAGUAAAACGUAGAAAAGAAUAAACAGGACAAAGAAGAGGGGAGAAGGAGGGAGCCGAGAUCCCAGAAAGCAACAGGAGAAGGCAGGGAGAGAGGUUCUGAGAACGGGGAGCAGCUCCAGGUGGCUGAGCCUAGAGCAGCCAGCCUGGCCUUGUCCUCCUGCGCCCAGUGAAAGGCCUAAGCAAGUGGACUGUCUUGAAACCGUACAAGCAGGUGAUGGGAGAAGGGAGUGGGACUUGGGCUCACUCCCCAGACCCCACUGCUGACGGAAGGCAGGGUGGAGGAGAUGCUUGGAGCAGGGGCUGGGGGAAACCUCAGCCUUUCCCAGCUCAGUCACUCUUUCGUCCCACCCAGAGAAACAGCUCCCUUGUCAUCAGCUGUGAUGUGCAUUAUUUAAAAAAAAAAAAAAGACUUUAAAAUACUAUUUUUACCCGCAGCACAUUUUUUUUCUUCCAAAGGAACAAAAGGAUCACAACCCACACGCUCCUCAAACUGGCAGCCCUGAGCCAAGGCAAGGCUGGGAUUUGCAUAGGGAGGGGGCUCCAGCCUCCCAUUCCCACCCCUCCUCAUUCCCACAGAAAGGAAGCCUAGAGGAACGCCAUGGGCUUGCUCUUGACAUCCUCCUGAAAUACACGAGCAGGAAUAGGAGGAAAUGAUAAAUGAGAGGACUUCACAGCCAGUGUGAUCGUCAGUAGUACUUUUGGCCAUUAAUAGUUAGUGUUAUAGUUCUGAGAAAGGAAGGGGUCCCUCUCUGUCUCUCCUCUCUCUCCGUCUCUCUGUCUCUCUUAUACACAAUUGCACACACAGACACAGCCUGGCAGCCAGGUUUUUUCUACCACAAAGAAAUUUUGUUCUUUCACAUUUUGUAUUUCCAAUGUCCCUUAACAUUUCAGCUAAUUAAGUAUUUCUGGGUCAUUUGAUAGUUCAGGAAAAGCUGAAACAUACACUCACUGUUUGCAUUUUUCUCUUCCUCCAAACAGCUAACACUUAGGGGUCCUAUUCAGUAACAUCCAUUUGCGGUUCUCCUUGUUUGCCCAUGUGACAGAACAGGUCAGAGCUGGGCCAUGAAGGACUUACUUCUGAUGUGUACAUGUAUAAGAGAGUUGUUUACAUAUAUAUAGACGGGGGGUGCGUUUAAGGGAAAAAAAUCUGGCAACAAGAACCCCCAGUCUAUCUAAACUUUCUGAAUUUCUCUUAAAAUGGAAAAUACGAAGAGUAUUACUCA